CUUGAGUGACGGUGACUCGUUGGUUGUCCUGCAUAUUGACCAGAGUGGGAGGAGUUAAGACCAGACUGGUGGUAACCACCUCUCUCCCAGCAGCGUAUCACUUCUCUCUCUAGAAAAAACCAUUUGUUUGGCAGUUUUCAGCUCAAACUGGUCGACCGUGUUUGUGUAUGUGUUGCUUUGCCACGUCUAAUCUGUGUGUAGAGGGUGAGUUUACCUGCUGGUAAGUACACUCCAGGGUGGGCGUUCAGGUGAACGUGGGACAUGGUCAGACAUGUAUGUUAGCGUAUACUCAACAAUAAGGAAGCUGAAAUCCUUCCUGGUGCUGGUCAUAUUGAAACAGAUGUUUCUAAAUGCAGAUGUGAUCUCCCAGCUGUUCUACACAGUGUUGCAGUGAACAAAAUGAAUGUGUUAGUGGAGCAGCAGGUCUUACUGAGUUUUACAGCUUAUUGUGUCAACUUUGAAUUCUCACACUAAUUCUUCUGCUUUUCUAUUUAGUUUACAUACCAGUGCUGUGUGCCAGAAGGUUCCUCAGCUUCUGAAGUUGGAUGGAAAUGACCUCCCCCCACCCAUUGGCUUUGAUGUGGACACACCCACCACUCUCCCACCUUGUAAGUGAUGCGUUUCCAUCUGCUGAAGCACACACGACUGAAUGUGGUGACGUUCCUCAACGAGCUGCCAUAAACCCAGCAUGACAUCAUCUCUUUCACCGUGGACGUAAACGCCUACACAUUUGUGCAUCAUCAACGACCAGCUCUUCAUCAGAAUGGCUACAACGGAGCAGAUCAGCAGAGCUUUUGUGCCCCGCCCCCUUCCUCCAGCCCAGUGCCCACCCUCACUGCCCCACAGCAGGAGAUGCUCAGCACCUUCUCCCUG
rnacentral:lncRNA from 1 species